rnacentral:rRNA from 1 species
CCUACGGGGGGCUGCAGUGGGGAAUAUUGGACAAUGGGGGCAACCCUGAUCCAGCCAUGCCGCGUGUGUGAAGAAGGCCCUCGGGUUGUAAAGCACUUUCAGUGAGGAAGAACGCCUGGUGGUUAAUACCCAUCAGGAAAGACAUCACUCACAGAAGAAGCACCGGCUAACUCCGUGCCAGCAGCCGCGGUAAUACGGAGGGUGCGAGCGUUAAUCGGAAUUACUGGGCGUAAAGCGCGCGUAGGUGGCUUGAUAAGCCGGUUGUGAAAGCCCCGGGCGCAACCUGGGAACGGCAUCCGGAACUGUCAAGCUAGAGUGCAGGAGAGGAAGGUAGAAUUCCCGGUGUAGCGGUGAAAUGCGUAGAGAUCGGGAGGAAUACCAGUGGCGAAGGCGGCCUUCUGGACUGACACUGACACUGAGGUGCGAAAGCGUGGGUAGCAAACAGGAUUAGAUACCCCUGUAGUC